GCCGUGAGGAUAAGGUCGUUAGUUUAAUAAGGCGGGGAUGCUGAGAUCGCAGCUCGAUUUUUUUUUUUUUUUUUUUUUUUUUUUUUUUUUUUUGGGCAUAAAUGCUUUUUUAUAUUGUCAUAACGUUUUAAAGAGUGAUUUUGAAUGAUGAACUGUUUUUUUUAUAGAUAUUUACUGAAGAGCAGUAUACAUGUUGUUUUGAAUAGACAUUAUACUUCACCUGUAUGUACUACGUAGCAGUUGUCACUUACAUACUUAAUGGUGCCAUAAUGAGGUAUA
rnacentral:lncRNA from 1 species